ensembl:lncRNA
AUGUAGAGGAGGGAUCAUAUAUAGCAGAUGCAGAAGCCAGUAGAUAUGAGAGAUUAGCCUGAAUUAUUCAGGUGGGCCCAGUGUAAUCACAAGACUUCUUAAAAGAUGGAAGAGGAAGAAAAAUCAGUGUCAGGGGAUGCAAAGUGAAAAAAACCUCAACUUACUGUUUCUGGAUUUGUCAGAAGGGGGCCAAAGAAUAUGGGCAGCCUCUAGAGGCUAAAAAGAGCAGGCAGGUGUGGCUGGCUGGCCUAACAGCCUAGGAAGCUGAUUCCUCUUGGAGGGGCAGCAAACACCAGUCUGCCUUUGAGAUCUGCUGAACCACAAGGAGACUGCACUUCACUCUCUCCAUGGACACCCAGACAAGCUCUUUUCAAUGAGAGCUUCCACCUCCUAUCAUUGUUCAAGCUCCUACCUUUAAAAAAAAAUACAUAUUUAUUUUUGGCUGCACUGGAUUUUUGUUGCUGUGGGAGCGCUUUCUCUAGUUGCCGUGAGCAGGAGCCGCUCUCUAGUUACGGUGGCUUCUCUUGCUGUGGAGCACAGGCUCUAGGCUUGUGGCCUUCAGGAGUUGCAGCCUAUGGGCUCGGAGGUUGUGGUGCAUCAGCUUAGCUGACUGGAGGCAUGUGGGAUCCUCCCGGAUCAGGGGUUGAAUCUGCAUCUCCUGCACCAGGUGGACUCCUAAUCACUGGACCACCAGCGAAGCCCCGAAGCUCCUACUUGGUGAACUUCCUUGGAUCUCAUGAAAACGCUUAGGAAUUAUUCCAAACUGCCAAUUGAAGGCCUCAACUAGAGGCUGAAGUUGCUGGAGGUCCUCCUCCAAAAGGCCAAGAGAGGAAGGAGCAAGGAAAGGGAAGAGUUCAAAACCAAACCAAACCACAAAAUAGCAGCUCUUCCUGUGGAAAUGUAGUGCUUUCCCCCUUAUUUUAAUAAUAUAAUUAUCAAGGUUAUCCAAAUAUUCAUUAUUGGAGUCCUUGUAGUUAGAAGAUUGUGGAGGGACAUGAAAGCCAUGAUAACACAAAAAUAUUUGUUCAUGAACACCCACCAUAAAUCCCACAAAGCCCUUUUUGGCUCAGUCUUCUGAUGACUGGGAUAUUAUAAACAUCUGACAGGACAAUGCAAGCUAUGCAAAUCUGUUUCAAAGUCAAAUUUCAAAUCUUGCAAAAGAUCAAGAAGAAUGAAGUUGGAAAAUUGCUCAAAUCAUAGCAAUGAAAAAUAGGGGCAUGACGGAGGUGCACCAGUUAACAACAGGAAAAAUUAAGAAUCAGCAGAGAUAGUGACCCCAGAGACACUUCAAAGGGAAACAUACACCUAUCAACCACUAUGAGAAGCCUUUGGGAAAACUCAUGAAGCACUUGCAUACUUUUGGAUAAAUGUCCUUUCAAAUAAGAUUGGCCAUGAAAGUAAAAUACAAAGCAAAAAAGGCAGUGCUGUUGUACAAAUAUUUUGAAAUUUUUUUCCCCAAAAUGAAUGGCUCGUCUUUUUCAGUCUAAGAUUGUGUAUUUGUAAUUAUAACUGAAAUUGCAUUUAGUAUAAGAUUUUAAAAGCUUAAUUUCAUAAUUUUCAGUUUUAUUUCUCAAGUUCAAGCCCCAAACAACCCUUUCUCCCACCUUCUGUUUGUUGUAAAUGUUCUGUCUUAAGUAGUUUCCUAUUAAGAGGUUGUACCAGAAUUAUACAGUAAUGAAGACCUUCUGCUCCUAAAACCCCAGUCUGAAGUACAUUCUUUGCAUAUGGAGAGCUUCUUUGAGAUCAGAACCAAAGGAGACACUUGAUUGACACCUGCAUGACCCAGAGGGUCACUAUGGGGAAUCCCAGGACCCGGUCUCAGGGAUCCCCACUAUGAGAUUUUAAGUGACACACACACAAAAUGUAUAUCCCCUGUAUUAUUAUUAUUAUUUUUUAAUGUCUGUUAUUUGCAUCUUCUCUGCCUGGAAACCAAACUUCCUCCCUGUUCAGUGAAAUACCAGGUGCUGGUCUUCCCUGCUGGAGGCCCCUUCCUGGCUUCCCAGUCUCUGCCCAGCCUUAGCCUUGAAGGCCUCUGAGGCAGAAGGAGGAUUCCAGCCCCCAAAAAAUGACGAAACACCGGACGCCCAGC